ACACAGAAUAUGUACAGACAAAAACAAGUAUGCUAAUGAAAUUUCUUCAAAUACUACAAACAAUUAGUGAAGACUGCUACUAUAGGCUGCUGCUGUAUUUUUAAGAGGCUCAACUUCAAAUACUUCAACCUUUUAUGGAAAGAUGGAAACACACAACAAACUAUGUAGAUCUUGAUACAAGUCUCCAUCAAGUUGAUUCAUUUUCAAAAGUAAAUUACAUCCUAAUCUCAAACCUGUGGCAAGACAAGUCAAAUCAUCAAAGAAUGUCCUGUGACAGCCAAGGAGGCGGCCCCGCGGGAACCAGGUCCUGCGAGGAGGGCGGUCGGCCGCUCCCUCCCGACUCCCUCCUGGGCCGGCGGCCCAGGGUGCGGCGCUGCCAGCAGGUUGAUCGGGCGGAGCUUUGGGAGCGGCUCGACUGACCGCCCGAGGGGCUGAGGCUUCAAGGCGAGAUCACCGCCGGCCAAAUAAGAAUAAACAAACUC